ACGCUCGACACCUACUGGAGGCAGCAGUGGGGAAUAUUGCACAAUGGGGGAAACCCUGAUGCAGCAACGCCGCGUGAGUGAAGAAGUAUUUCGGUAUGUAAAGCUCUAUCAGCAGGGAAGAUAAUGACGGUACCUGACUAAGAAGCUCCGGCUAAAUACGUGCCGGCAGCCGCGGUAAUCUGAGCGGGCUGGCAAGGC
rnacentral:rRNA from 1 species